rnacentral:lncRNA from 1 species
GAUAGGCGAAUCAAAAUCGGAUAGGUGUUAGCCACCAAGAUGAAGCCUUCACACCCCUUUCUUAAUCGAAAUUAAACCCAUCCUUGUUUAUCCUCAACUUCCACCACCAGUUACAUAAAAGACCAAGGUUGAACUCCUUCACUCGAUGAACCCCUAACUCCCUCUAUUCCGAUCCAAACAAACCUUCUCCCAAUUAAUCCGGUCAAUAUUACUACUAACGAAAUCCAAUGAAUCCAAAGAGAGGGUGUUUCUAUUUAUCUGUCAACCGCCUCCGUUUCUAUUUGCUAAGUAAAUCAAAAUUUAACAACCUGAAAUUCUUUAUUGUCAAUCCUCUAUAAACUCUUUCGGAGAUACACCUUAUCCCAACUUAAUUUAUUUUAUUUCGGUCCUCUCUCCCACUCCAAUGGAAUUGUAUUUGCAAUUGAGUAAUUUCUUUCGAAUCUUUGUUAGGGACCUUAUAAAAAAGAUAGCAAAUGUAUCUAUAAUAUAUGUAUCUAUAAUUGGUUAUAAAUGACAUAAUAUUAUUGUUGGUUUAGUGGUUGUGUUCAUUAUGUGGUAAC